AUUGAACGCUGGCGGCAUGCUUUACGCAUGCAAGUCGAACGGCAGCGCGGGCUUCGGCCUGGCGGCGAGUGGCGAACGGGUGAGUAAUGCAUCGGAACGUGCCCAGUAGUGGGGGAUAGCCCGGCGAAAGCCGGAUUAAUACCGCAUACGACCUGAGGGUGAAAGCGGGGGACCGAAAGGCCUCGCGCUAUUGGAGCGGCCGAUGUCGGAUUAGCUAGUUGGUGGGGUAAAGGCUUACCAAGGCGACGAUCCGUAGCUGGUCUGAGAGGACGACCAGCCACACUGGGACUGAGACACGGCCCAGACUCCUACGGGAGGCAGCAGUGGGGAAUUUUGGACAAUGGGGGCAACCCUGAUCCAGCCAUGCCGCGUGCGGGAAGAAGGCCUUCGGGUUGUAAACCGCUUUUGUUCGGGAAGAAAUCCUCUGGGCUAAUACCCCGGGGGGAUGACGGUACCGGAAGAAUAAGCACCGGCUAACUACGU
rnacentral:rRNA from 1 species